rnacentral:rRNA from 1 species
GUGAGGAAUAUUGCGCAAUGGAGGCAACUCUGACGCAGCCAUGCCGCGUGCAGGAAGAAGGCGCUACGCGUUGUAAACUGCUUUUAACCGGGAAGAAACCCCAGGACGUGUCCUGGGUUGACGGUACCGGAGGAAUAAGCUCCGGCUAACUUCGUGCCAGCAGCCGCGGUAAUACGAAGGGAGCUAGCGUUGUUCGGAAUUACUGGGCGUAAAGGGCGCGUAGGCGGUUUGGUCAGUCAGAUGUGAAAGCCCAGGGCUUAACGAUGGAACGGCCAUUGAUACUGUUAGACUUGAAUUACAAGGAAGUAACUAGAAUAUGUAGUGUAGCGGUGAAAUGCUUAGAUAUUACAUGGAAUACCAAUUGCGAAGGCAGGUUACUACUUGUGGAUUGACGCUGAUGGACGAAAGCGUGGGGAGCGAACAGGAUUAGAAACCCUUGUAGUCC